AUACUUACCUGGACGGGGUCAAUAGUUGAUCAUGUAGGACUAUGGUCUAGGGUAAUGACCACCAUUGCACUUAGGAGGGGUGUUAUCUUAAGGUCUACCUAAGUGGUGGAGCCUAUGUCAUAAUUUGUGGCAGUGGGGGUUUGCGUUCUCGCAGCCCCUAU